rnacentral:rRNA from 1 species
UACAGAGGUCUCAAGCGUUAGGCGGAAUCACUGGGCUUAAAGCGUGUGUAGGUGGGUUUGUAAGUACCUUGUGAAAUCCCAUGGCUCAACCAUGGAACUGCUGGGUAUACUGCGAAUCUUGAGCUGUCUAGAGGUUACUGGAACAAACGGUGGAGCGGUGAAAUGCGUAGAUAUCGUUUGGACCGCCAAUGGUGAAAACAGGUAACUGGGGACACGCUGACACUGCGACACGAAAGCCAGGGGAGCAAACGGG